rnacentral:rRNA from 1 species
CCUACGGGUGGCAGCAGUGAGGAAUAUUGGUCAAUGGGAGAGAUCCUGAACCAGCCAAGCCGCGUGAGGGAAGAUGGCCCUAUGGGUUGUAAACCUCUUUUGUCGGAGAACAAAACCCGGGACGUGUCCCGGACUGCGUGUAUCCGAAGAAAAAGCAUCGGCUAACUCCGUGCCAGCAGCCGCGGUAAUACGGAGGAGGCGAGCGUUAGGCGGAUUUAUUGGGUUUAAAGGGUGCGUAGGCGGUCCGUUAAGUCAGCGGGAAAAUUGCGGGGAUCAACCCCGUAGAGCCGUUGAAACUGGCAGACUUGAGUUGGCGAGAAGGACGCGGAAUGCGCGGUGUAGCGGUGAAAUGCAUAGAGAUCGCGCAGAACUCCGAUUGCGAAGGCAGCGGACAGGCGCCAGACCGACGCUGAGGCACGAAAGCGUGGGGAUCGAACAGGAUUAGAUACCCGAGUAGUC